rnacentral:rRNA from 1 species
AGUGAACGCUGGCGGUAGGCCUAACACAUGCAAGUCGAACGGCAGCACAGGAGAGCUUGCUCUCUGGGUGGCGAGUGGCGGACGGGUGAGGAAUACAUCGGAAUCUACUCUGUCGUGGGGGAUAACGUAGGGAAACAUACGCUAAUACCGCAUACGACCUACGGGUGAAAGCAGGGGACUUUCGGGCCUUGCGCGAUUGAAUGAGCCGAUGUCGGAUUAGCUAGUUGGCGGGGUAAAGGCCCACCAAGGCGACGAUCCGUAGCUGGUCUGAGAGGAUGAUCAGCCACACUGGAACUGAGACACGGUCCAGACUCCUACGGGAGGCAGCAGUGGGGAAUAUUGGACAAUGGGCGCAAGCCUGAUCCAGCCAUACCGCGUGGGUGAAGAAGGCCUUCGGGUUGUAAAGCCCUUUUGUUGGGAAAGAAAUCCAGCUGGCUAAUACCCGGUUGGGAUGACGGUACCCAAAGAAUAAGCACCGGCUAACUUCGUGCCAGCCGCCGCAGUAA